UACGUAGGGGGCAAGCGUUGUCCGGAAUCACUGGGCGUAAAGGGCGCGUAGGUGGCGGGUCAAGCGUGCGGUGAAAGCUCGGGGCUCAACCCCGAGUCGGCCGUGCGAACUAGCCUGCUUGAGCACUGUAGAGGCAGAUGGAAUUCCGGGUGUAGCGGUGGAAUGCGUAGAGAUCCGGAAGAACACCGGUGGCGAAGGCGGUCUGCUGGGCAGUUGCUGACACUGAGGCGCGACAGCGUGGGGAGCAAACAGG
rnacentral:rRNA from 1 species